rnacentral:lncRNA from 1 species
CACAUCCCUGGUGACUGUAGAUGGACUGAGUAUAGCCACAUCCCUGGUGACUGUAGAUGGACUGUGUAUAGCCACAUCCCUGGUGACUGUAGGUAGACGGUAUAGCCAUAUCCCUGGUGACUGUAGAUGUGGACUAUGUAGCCACAUCCCUGGUGUCUGUACAUGGACUGUGUAUAGCCACAUCCCUGGUGACUGUAGGUAGACUGUAUAGCCACAUUCCUGGUGACUGUUGAUGGACUGUGUGGCCACAUCCCUGGUGACUGUAGGUGGACUGUGUAUAGCCACAUUCCUGGUGACUGUAGAUGGACUGUGUGGCCACAUCCCUGGUGACUGUAGAUGGACUGUGUAUAGCCACAUCCCUGGUGACUGUAGGUAGACUGUAUAGCCAUAUCCCUGGUGACUGUUGAUGGACUGUGUAUAGCCACAUCCCUGGUGACUGUAGGUAGACUGUAUAGCCACAUCCCUGGUGACUGUUGAUGGACUGUGUAUAGCCACAUCCAUGGUGACUGUAUAGCCACAUCCCUGGUGACUGUAGGUGGACUGUGUGGCCACAUCCAUGAUGACUGAAGGUGGACUGUGUGGCCACAUCCCUGGUGACUGUAGGUGGACUGUGUAGCCACAUCCCUGGUGACUGUAGGUGGACUGUGUGGCCACAUCCCUAGUGACUGUAGGUGGACUGUGUGGCCACAUCCCUGGUGACUGUAGGUGGACUGUGUGGCCACAUCCCUGGUGACUGUAGGUAGACUGUGUGGUCACAUCCCUGGUGACUGAAUGUGGACUGUGUAUAGCCACAUCCCUGGUGACUGUAUAUGGACUGUGACCACAUCCCUGGUGACUGUAGAUGGACUGUGGCCACAUCCCUUGUGACUGUAGGUGGACUCUGUGGCCACAUCCCUGGUGACUGUAGAUGGACUGUGUGGUCACAUCCCAGGUGACUGUAGGUGGACUAUGUAUAGCCACAUCCCUGGUGACUGUAGAUGGACUGUGUGGCCACAUCCCUGGUGACUGUAGAUGGACUGGUUAUAGCCACAUCCCUGGUGACUGUAGGUAGACUGUAUAGCAACAUCCCUGGUGACUGUUUGAUGGACUGUGUAUAGCCACAUCCCUGGUGACUGUAGGUAGACUGUAUAGCCACAUCCCUGGUGACUGUAUAGCCACAUCCCUGGUGACUGUAGAUGGACUGUGUAUAGCCACAUCCCUGGUGACAGUAGGUGGACUGUAUGUAGCCACAUCCCUGGUGACUGUAGAUGGACUGAGUAUAGCCACAUCCCUGGUGACUGUAGAUAGACUGUGUGGUCACAUCUCUGGUGACUGCUGAUUUACUGUGUAUAACCACAUCCCUGGUGACUGUAGGUGGACUGUGUAAUGCCACAUCCCAGGUGACUGUAGAUGGACUGUGUAUAGCCACAUUCCUGGUGACUGUAGAUGGACUGUGUAUAGCCACAUCCCUGGUGACUGUAGAUAGACUGUGUAUAGCCACAUCCCUGAUGACUGUAGAUGGACUGUGUAUAGCCACAUCCCUGGUGACUGUGUAUAGCCACAUCCCUGGUGACUGUAGAUAGACUGUCUAUAGCCACAUCCCUGAUGACUGUAGAUGGACUGUGUAGCCACAUCCCUGGUGACUGCCUGACAGGACAUGUCACACCAAGGUUAUAUUGUUAAACAUUAAGGCAUUAUUUACCUUAAAAUAAGCAAUCUGUUACAAAACUGAACAAAUGUUAUAUAUUAUAAAUAUUAUUUACAAUAAUGUAAACAUAGCACAAGUUUAUUUCAAGUAUAAUCCACAUGCUGUUUGUACUUUUUUAAGUGUAUUUCAUUUGCACGUGUAUAUAUUUUGAGUGUAAACUUAAAUAAGAUAAUAAGCGUUCUGUAA